rnacentral:lncRNA from 10 species
AUUGAAGCAAAAACCUCCACCAGGACUGCAGACAUCAAUGAAGAUUCAUCAUAAAGACCUGAGUCCUGAUGUAUAAGUGAAUACAUGAAUAAUUAAACAAACAAAAGCUUUCUCGCAGGGCCCUGAAAAACAAUAGAGAAAGAUAAUACAAGAAAAUGUUGUACAAAAUCUAUAAAGUAGAGCUGCUAUAAGAAGGCAGCUGACUACAUGAUUUCUCAAGAAAAAAACAGAAUGAAUAAA